rnacentral:rRNA from 1 species
CAGCCCCUCGAGUGGUGGGGAUGAUUAUUUGGCCUAAAACGUCCGUAGCCGGCUCGGUAAAUCUCUCGUUAAAUCCAGCGUCCUAAGCGUUGGGCUGCGAGAGAGACUGCCGAACUAGAGGGUGGGAGAGGUCAGCGGUAUUUCUGGGGUAGGGGCGAAAUCCAUUGAUCCCAGGAGGACCACCAGUGGCGAAGGCUGCUGACUAGAACACGCCUGACGGUGAGGGACGAAAGCUGGGGUAGCGAAUCGGAUUAGAGACCCGAGUAGUCC